GACAGUGUCAGGCUUGUUAGUGGUCGGGGACAGAUGAAUCCAGCCCUGUGCUGAUCGCCUGCCUUCCACCUCCCAAUUAGACUAUCACAGCCGGUGCUGCUGUCUCUUGUACUUACUGUAAAGGACCCUGGAAGAGGGAGUGGUUCAUCCUAGCUGCAAACAAGGGCGGUUUUUUGUUGUUGUUUGCGUCUUUUUUUUUUUUCUUUUAAGAAUUACGUUUUAUAAGUAUGUCUGGGCGUUACAAGGGAAUGUGAACGACUUUUCAGAGAGAUUGUGAAUAUAUUUGAUGUGUUCUAAAAAGCUGGAAAUCCCUAAGUAAAUGCAGUAUCGAUAGAAAGCAAGUUUCUUGAAGAGUCACCUGCUAAACUCUACUAGCGUCAUCUCUACAAUUGGGAGCCUCGAAGUCUGAAAUCAAGGUGUCAGCCAGAUCCCCUCUGAAGUCCUGGCGAAGAGUUCUUCCUUGCCUUCUUCAGGUUCAUUUGACCUCAGGCAUUCCUUGGCUGUGGCAGCCUAACUCCAGUUUCUGCCUCCAUCUUCAUAGAGCCUUCUUCCCUCAGUCAACCUCUGUUUGCUCUUCUACUGACCGAAACAUCCGAUAUGGUGGAAGUACAACAUUAACCAUACUGAUGGGGCCAACAUCUGUGGAAAUGAUGAACAUGAAAUGAGAAGAAAACAAAUCCCUGGUGGGAGGAGGGGGGGAUCACAGAACAAAGUUAUCUCAGGAUCCUAGGCUCUUUGGGCUUCUAAAUAGUUCUCUGUGUAUGAGAUAACAUUUAAUCUAAUUUAAGCCCUUGUAUUUUUUCAGUGGUUUAGCCUUUAUCUUAAUAAAACUGUUUAGAAAAAUUUGGACUGAUUGCUACUUACUUAAAAUAAAUGGGUAAAGUGAGUUGUUGUGAUAAAAAAAAAUGGAUUCAUCUUUAAAGUGGAUAAGAGACAAAUGGAUUGUGUGGUAGUAAUUAACUUAUUGUCUUUUUAUCACAUAGUUUCUCACAUGCUUAGGAAGUAAGGUAUUAAUCAGAAUUAUAGGAAAAAGUAUAUUUACAGUCUGGUAACUAUCAUAGAAUCUCUUCAAACUGUCAGAAAUACCACAUAGUAAUAAUAUAACUAGAAUAGUAUAUAGAGUAUAUAGUACAGAGUAUAUAGGGAGUAUAUAUAGCAUAUAUUAUAAAUUGAUUAUAAAGUAAAAAGUAUACAGGGCAGCACACACAGUAGAACAGUAGAUAGAGAAGUAUUAUAUAUUAAUCUUCAUGUAUUCAUAAGAAUAUCAUAUAUGUUCAUAUAUUAUUUUCCCCACAUUCACAGAGUAUAUGUGUUUUGAAAGUAGCAGAAGAUUGAAUUUUCACAAUUCACAAAAUAACAGAACUUUUGAGGUGUUCUAAAAUUAGGUAAAAAAUAGAUGCUUAUAAGAAAACAUCCAGAAAUAUAUCAUUAACUCUCUGAAUGUGUGAAUGAAUUUGACAUUUCCUAGGAGCUAAUGAGAUACAUGCUUGCUAUCUAACUUGUCAAGCAUUCUUUUUUGGAAAUCUUAACAAGAGAAGCCAUCUAAAUCUGAGUCAUUAAGGUGAGAUCAAGUCAAAACAUACCAAAAAUGAGAAUUAGAUUCCUGUUCUCUAAUGGUGUUUCAUAUGAAAAAGCCUGGUCCCCACUGUUGCAUAGACUGGCUUUAUAAUCCUGAUCCUGUGAAUGAAUGGUUGUCAUCUUAAGAAAUUUGCUCCAUUUCUUGGACCCCUGUGCACAGUGAAAACAUGUGUCAGAAACAACAACACUUUUGGCCCCUGCUAAUACCAAUGUUGUGAUUGUACUUGCUUUUUUUUUUCCUAUUUAUGUUGUAACUGCUAACUCCUUUUAGAAUCCAGUAUCCCAAUUACCAGCUCAGAUUUAGACCACUUUUAUCUCUUAAUGUCUGAUAAAAAUUGUCUAGUACAUACCCCACACAACAAAUUAUAGGCAGUAGAUAGCUGCUGGAUUCAAUUUCAUCUUGGAUAUAUUCCUUUAAGUAAAUAUGCUUUAAUUUUAAUGUGUGUGCAUAAAAUUAUGCUGUUUUCACUUGUAAAAUUUAGCUUAGAAACUUUCAUUCAUUAUUUAUACUUGUGUGAAUUAUUAACAUAUUUUCCCAAUUAUCAAUCAUAUCUUUUCCUUAUUUUGUUUUUAAAAAAUACUAUUUUUCUGAACAAUAAUCCUUUAUUAGUUAUUUAUGUUGUAAAUAUUUUCUCCCAGGUUAUGACUUAAUAUUCCCUAAUUGUUUCAUGAUGUAUUUGGUAAUUAAAUAUUAUUUAUUUUAGUGUAGUUUUAUUUAGCAAAUUUCUUUUAAGAUUAGCAUUGUAUCUUGUUUAAGAAAUUCUACUCUUUCCCCAAAGUGUUAAAAUAUUCUCCUAAACAUUAUUAUGAAAUUAUUAAAACUUUACUUGCACAUUUAAGCCUUUAAUCCUUUGAGUUUUGAAUUUUGCCUUUGAUGCAGGCAGGAUUUAAUCAUACCUAAUGGUUUUUCUGUAUUAGAUAAUAAUAUUUUAAAAUCUCUUAAUUUGUUUAAUUGGUGACUGACAUUUUACAUCUCAUAAUUUUAAAUUAAGCUUAUGUGAAUAAAUACAAUUUGAUCAUAAAA
rnacentral:lncRNA from 1 species